rnacentral:lncRNA from 1 species
GCAAAAGUGUGGGUAGGGUAAGAAAGAGAAGCGCAACGUUGACAUGGAGGCGAUAAAGGUGAAGAAGGAGGAGAAGGAAGAGAAAGCGAGAGAAGAAAAAGAAGAAGAAAUGAUGAGAGCCGAACGAAAAAGGCGGAGAAAAGAAAAAGAAAGAAAGAAAAAAGAGGAAUAAUAAUAUUUUAGUCAACUUAUUAAAAAUUUAGAUCUAAUCUACGAUAAUAAUGAUAUUUAAGUUAUCUU